GAUGAACGCUGGCGGCGUGCCUAAUACAUGCAAGUCGAGCGAACGGACGAGAAGCUUGCUUCUCUGAUGUUAGCGGCGGACGGGUGAGUAACACGUGGAUAACCUACCUAUAAGACUGGGAUAACUUCGGGAAACCGGAGCUAAAACCGGAUAAUAUUUUGAACCGCAUGGUUCAAAAGUGAAAGACGGUCUUGCUGUCACUUAUAGAUGGAUCCGCGCUGCAUUAGCUAGUUGGUAAGGUAACGGCUUACCAAGGCAACGAUGCAUAGCCGACCUGAGAGGGUGAUCGGCCACACUGGAACUGAGACACGGUCCAGACUCCUACGGGAGGCAGCAGUAGGGAAUCUUCCGCAAUGGGCGAAAGCCUGACGGAGCAACGCCGCGUGAGUGAUGAAGGUCUUCGGAUCGUAAAACUCUGUUAUUAGGGAAGAACAUAUGUGUAAGUAACUGUGCACAUCUUGACGGUACCUAAUCAGAAAGCCACGGCUAACUACGUG
rnacentral:rRNA from 1 species